GUGACUCAUAAUGUACAGGACACUGGGAGCACAAACAGAGGGACAGCUUUUUAUUCAUUCACAUCUUUAUUGAUCAUCAAGUAUGGGAUAGACAGGCACAGGGUGGUGAGGAAAAGUGACAGUAAAAAUAAAAGAUCAAAGGGUCUUAGAAUCUUUACCAGAUACAAAAAUAAUAACUUCACAAUGGAAAUGUGGACUUAUGAACAUCUAUGAACACAGUGAAAAUGGAUGAAGAUUUAAAUGAAACUUCCUCAGUUAUGUAAUCCAAACUACAAAAAUCGAAGUCAAGGGAGAUGGAUGCCAGGCUACAAGGAUUCAAUCUGCUUUCCUUUAUUUUGGAAGUUGUUUACACCCACUCUACUUUCUGGGUUUAUUUCCUAGCAAGACUGCCUGCAGAGAAAUUAUUGCAGACCAAUUUAUCCAGGCAACAGUUUGCCCAUCUGCGCAAACAGUUCUCUUAUUGGACAACAUCAUUUUCGCUUGGGCAAACAGCUCAAUUUUCAGGCAACUGUUUUCUCACAAAGAGCCUUAUGUCUGUCUCAAACUAUUGUGUCAUGAAUGUUGCCCAAUCUUGACAACCUUCACACCUUAAAAAACAAACCUCAAACCAUUUAAGUACAGUCCCCUAAACCCUAUUAAUACCCUUCUGUUGUCUCCUCUUGAGACUGAUAAAACCCUGUUAAUGUGGUUUUCUCCCUUAUUGCAGUAUGUUUAAUAAAUUCUGCUUUGCCAAACAACAGGUUUAUCUGGUGGAUGUUAUAAAGGAGUCAACAAUCACCAGGUCCAAACACAAUCUUUGACACCUAACAGAAGCUCAAUUAAAUUUUUUUUCAUUAAGUAACUAGGCAGAAACUCAGGUAGGGUAUUAUAUGAGAUAAAUAUGGGGGAAAGGGAGAACAAGGUAUUAGUCACAAGGAAAAAGAAAACUGGUUAUACAAGAGUCCAGGAAAUCUAUUAAAAGGCUAAGGGAAUAGAACUGACUCUGAAACAUAAGAAUCUUAGAGCUCCAUGAGAUUGUUAAUCUAUGAGGUUGGCCAAUCAAUUGUGCACACAUGUGUUAGCCUCUGUAAGGUGUCACAUAGAAGGGACAUGAAACUAUCUGAUGGAUCUUGCAAUAAACAGUGUCACUUUUUUCAGUAUUUUCUAUUCCUAAAGGAAAGGCUUUUUCUGUAUUUCUGGUCUAGGAUGAAGCUCAAGAUUUUCCUGUAUGGGUUAAUGGGAGAUAAACAUACAUUCAUUUAAACAUUCAGUAUUUAGAAUAUUUAGUAUUUAGUAUUUGCUAUGUCAAAACACCAUUCUAGUUUCUAGCAACAUUGAGAUGAAUAUGGAGGGGGCUGAAAAACUAAGGGUUUAUUUUAUCAAAGAGAAGCAAAUGAAAGGAAAUAACAUGUUAGAGCCAUACAAUUCUAAAAGGGCUCAUUCAUGUUCAUAAAUUUUCAGGUUAUCUUCUGCUGACCCUCAGAAAAACCUAUAGAAGGCAAAAACAUCUUCGAAGGAGGUUCUCUUUACUUCACGUGAACUCAUCAUUAACUUAAGUACUGUAGCCUAGAAAUCAUUGUCAAUUGCAUUUUUUUUGCAGAGCAAAACCACCUUUUUUGUUUGUUUGUUUAAAGGAGUGGAACACUGAGUAACUCUUGAAAUGGAAAAUGACUAUAUAUCACUUAGUAUAAUUAUGGCCUUCACCAAUAACUUUAUCUGUCAAGCCAAAUAAUUAGUAAAGCUCUCCAGUGUGGUAAAUCCAAAAUGCUCUUGGUCAUUUACUCCAGUGUAUAACAGCUUUUAAUAUCAGUAAAUAUUUCUUAGCAACAAAUGUUAAAUCUUCCUUCUCUUGUGAAUACUAGGUCUCAUUUUCUUGUUCUUGAUUCAAUAAAGAUGAAGACAGUCUGGCUGUUCUUCAAGAAAGAAAAAUGUUAGAGGCUUACAUUAAUUAAACUAUUGGUAUAUUUGUUGAAGUUCAUGAGACGCUGAAUUAUACCCUAGGAAGUAAGACAUACAUGCAAAAAACAAAACAAAACAACAACAACAAAAAACAAACAAACAGCAAAGUAACAAUGCCCAAUUAUAUAAAGGCCAAAAAGCUCAGGUGAAAAAGUGCAAACAGAAGUGGAGGCCAAGAAAAGAAUGUGGGAGAGAAUGAAAUAUGUGAGCCUCAAACAGAAUAGAAAAAUGGGCAAAAAGAAAAGGUUGGGGAGGGAAGGAAAGCAGCAUGAAUGAAGGAUGAUAAAGGAUUAGUUUGAAGGUGAAAUUUUACUUUAUUCUUAACACCAGAGAUCUAUAUGCUACUCACGGAUAUUUAUUAAAUAAUUAUGAGUAAUGCAUACUCAUUAAAAUAUAAAUACAUUUAAGAUAGAAAGAACAACAAAAAUUAUCUCUAAUCACACUAUUCCCUCCUCCCUAUUGAUGUUUUAGCCUUGUUUAUUACAGACCUUUUCUGGGCACUUUAAAAGGCGUACUUUCACCCAAAUACAGACUUGAUUGUGAACUUUUAAAUUUAUUAUUGCAUAAGAUUUUUUAUGUUAGUUAUACAUCUCAUUUGAUCAAGUAUAUAUACGCCAAAGUUUUAUUUAAUAAUUCAUACAUAGUUAUAUCUUUGAGUAACCUUAUAAUUAGAAUUUGUAUAAAUCGUUUUGCUACUAAGAUCUUUGUACAAAAUACUAUUUUUCUGUUGUAUAAUCACUGAGAAUGGAGUGAAAUGGAGUGGACAAAACACAGACUUUGGAGUUAAAUAGAACUGGUUUUGAUUUUCAGUUCUGCUCCUUAUAGCUUGUAAUUUUAAGCAAUGUAUCUAACUUCUCUUGGGCCUUGGUUUCCUAAAAUAUAAAAUAAAAAUCACUAUGGUUACUUUGUAGUACUAUUCUGAGAAUAAGAAUUAAUAACUGCAAAGUGUAAUGUGCUUAGA
rnacentral:lncRNA from 10 species